AUUCUGCUUUCAGUUUUAAAACCAGUGAGAUGGGGGGUGGUAAGAAAACAUCCCCACUGCAAGAUGGCAUUGGUAGAGCUGUGAUGGUGACAACCAAGAAGUAACAAGAGUGAUGAACUGCAAACUAAUGGAUGGGCCAGGAAUGCUCCCAAGAAAUGAUGAAUAAUGUCAACGCGAAGAUUUUAAUCAUUAACUUCAGAGCAACAUCAGACUCACGUCCAGGUUCAGGAGCAAGUACAGGACGGUGGUCAGAAAGAUGACAUAUUUGCUAACUGACUGGAAGCUUCGAGAUAGUGAAGGCAUUUGAAUCAACUCAGGUCAAGAAAUGUCCAAAAUGUCCAGCACGCUUUUUGAUCUUUAGUGGAAGUGUAACGUGUGAAACACGCUCACUGGCUACGGACACCUUGCCCUGCUCUCACUUCCAGUGGAUGGUGCGGAGAAGGUCACCACAUCUCAGUGAGAAAUACAGAACCGGCUGGUGCUUGGAGAAUGGAUGUGUCUUCCUACGAGGCCUUGUGGCUCUCAUGAGAGUACGGCAUUCAAACUUUUGGGUUCCUUUAAAAAAAAAAAAAGUCAUUAUUAAAUCUCUGCCAAGAUUUAAAAAGUGAAGUGGAUGUAGUGACUUCAUGUUUGAAUGAAAGAGGCAGUUCAUUGGGUGGAGUUAAUGAGGGCAGAGGUGACUCAUGGAGUCCUGAGUUGUGCAUAUAAUUACAGCUCAUUUAGAAAUAAGCACGUAUGUACAUGACCUUUAUUCUCCACCAAAGCUGCACAAACGUCCGCUUCCAUGCUGACACAGACAACCAAUGGAAAGAAAUUCAAACAGCAGGAGCCCGACAUCUGAUCACGUUCCAGGAGAUUAGAUGGCGCUGAGCGGAUGAGGCGUUGAGAAAUACCACGCGUACAUUAAUCACACACCUCGAGAGGUCAAGGUGCCCAACUGACGGCGGCUGGUCUCCACCACUGUGCUGGCUUGGGUUGAUAAUAGUUCUCCAGACUGACACUGCAUCUCUGAACUUCCCUAUUCCUGUCACCAGCUUCCAGCUUCUCGCACGUUCAACCCUUUAGAGGAAACUGCCUCUUCCUUCCCUUCAAUAAUCCCUGAUGCUUGGAUUCUUCUUCAUGGUUCGCAGUCCCCUGUCCCCGAGUCGUGUUAGUCUUUGCCCUUAAAAUCUCAUCCUUGGGGCACCUGGGUGGCUCAGGGGUUGAGGUCUGCCUUCAUCUCAGGGUAUGAUCCUGGGGUCCUGGGAUCGAGUCCCACGUCGGGCUCCCUGCAUGGAGCCUGCUUCUCCCUCUGCCUGUGUCUCUGCCUCUCUCUGUGUGUCUCUCAUGAAUAAAUAAA
rnacentral:lncRNA from 1 species